rnacentral:rRNA from 1 species
UCGGGAAUUUUGGGCAAUGGGCGAAAGCCUGACCCAGCAACGCCGCGUGAGGGAUGAAGUAUUUCGGUAUGUAAACCUCGAAAGAAUGGGAAGAAUAAAUGACGGUACCAUUUACAAGCUCCGGCUAACUACGUGCCAGCAGCCGCGGUAAUACGUAGGGAGCAAGCGUUGUUCGGAUUUACUGGGCGUAAAGGGCGCGUAGGCGGCGCGGUAAGUCACUUGUGAAAUCUCUGAGCUUAACUCAGAACGGCCAAGUGAUACUGCUGUGCUAGAGUGCGGAAGAGGCAACCGGAAUUCUUGGUGUAGCGGUGAAAUGCGUAGAUAUCAAGAGGAACACCUGAGGCGAAGGCGGGUUGCUGGGCCGACACUGACGCUGAUGCGCGAAAGCCAGGGGAGCAAACG